GCAUAUCAAUAAGCGGAGGGAAUAGAUCCAACAGGGAUUGCCCCAGUAACGGCGAGUGAAGCGGCAACAGCUCAAAUUUGAAAUCUGGCCCUAGGCCCGAGUUGUAAUUUGCAGAGGAUGUUUCUGGCGACGCGCCUUCCGAGUUCCCUGGAACGGGACGCCAUAGAGGGUGAGAGCCCCGUACGGUUGGAUGCCUAGCCUCUGUGAAACUCCUUCGACGAGUCGAGUAGUUUGGGAAUGCUGCUCUAAAUGGGAGGUAUACGUCUUCUAAAGCUAAAUAUUGGCCAGAGACCGAUAGCGCACAAGUAGAGUGAUCGAAAGAUGAAAAGCACUUUGAAAAGAGGGUUAAAUAGUACGUGAAAUUGUUGAAAGGGAAGCACUUAUGACCAGACUUGGGCAGGUUGAUCAUCCGUCGUUCUCGGCGGUGCACUCUGCCUGCCCAGGCCAGCAUCAGUUCGCUUCGGGGGAUAAAGGUUUCGGGAAUGUAGCUCCUUCGGGAGUGUUAUAGCCCGUUGCGUAAUACCCUGGGGUGGACUGAGGUUCGCGCUUCUGCAAGGAUGCUGGCGUAAUGGUCAUCAGUGACCCGUCUUGAAACACGGACCAAGGAGUCGUCUUCGUAUGCGAGUGUUCGGGUGUCAAACCCCUACGCGUAAUGAAAGUGAACGUAGGUGAGAGCUUCGGCGCAUCACCGACCGAUCCUGAUGUUCUCGGAUGGAUUUGAGUAAGAGCAUACGGGGCCGGACCCGAAAGAAGGUGAACUAUGCCUGUAUAGGGUGAAGCCAGAGGAAACUCUGGUGGAGGCUCGCAGCGGGUUCUGACGUGCAAAUCGAUCGUCAAAUAUGGGCAUGGGGGGCGAAAGACUAAUCGGAACCUACUAGUAGCUCGAUUCCGCCGAAG
rnacentral:rRNA from 1 species